CGAAAGCCUGACGGAGCAAUACCGCGUGAGGGAUGACUGCCUAUGGGUUGUAAACCUCUUUUUUCAGGGAGGAACACAAUGACGUGUACCUGAAGAAUAAGCAUCGGCUAACUCCGUGCCAGCAGCCGCGGUAAGACGGAGGAUGCAAGUGUUAUCCGGAAUCACUGGGCGUAAAGCGUCUGUAGGUGGUUUAAUAAGUCAACUGUUAAAUCUUGAGGCUUAACCUCAAAACCGCAGUCGAAACUAUUAGACUAGAGUAUAGUAGGGGUAAAGGGAAUUUCCAGUGGAGCGGUGAAAUGCGUAGAUAUUGGAAAGAACACCGAUGGCGAAGGCACUUUACUGGGCUAUUACUGACACUCAGAGACGAGAGCUAGGGUAGCAAACG
rnacentral:rRNA from 1 species